rnacentral:rRNA from 1 species
GAUGAACGCUGGCGGCGUGCCUAAUACAUGCAAGUCGAGCGAACAGAUAAGGAGCUUGCUCCUUUGACGUUAGCGGCGGACGGGUGAGUAACACGUGGGUAACCUACCUAUAAGACUGGGAUAACUUCGGGAAACCGGAGCUAAUACCGGAUAACAUUUGGAACCGCAUGGUUCUAAAGUGAAAGAUGGUUUUGCUAUCACUUAUAGAUGGACCCGCGCCGUAUUAGCUAGUUGGUAAGGCAACGGCUUACCAAGGCGACGAUACGUAGCCGACCUGAGAGGGUGAUCGGCCACACGGGAGCGGAGACACGGACCAGACGCCUACGGGAGGCAGCAGUAGGGAAUCUUCCGCAAUAGGGGAAAGCCUGGCGGAGCAACGCCGCGUGAGUGAUGAAGGGUUUCGGCUCGUAAAACUCUGUUAUUAGGGAAGAACAAACGUGUAAGUAACUGUGCACGUCUUGACGGUACCUAAUCAGAAAGCCACGGCUAACUACGUG